rnacentral:rRNA from 1 species
GAUGAACGCUGGCGGCGUGCUUAACACAUGCAAGUCGAACGGCAAGGCCCUGCUAUUGUGGUGUGCUCGAGUGGCGAACGGGUGCGUAACACGUGUGUAACCUGCCCUAGACUUUGGGAUAACUUCAGGAAACUGGGGCUAAUAUAGGAUCGGAGCUGCUGCUGCGUGGUGGGGGUUGGAUAGUUUCGGCGUUCGGGGAUGGACUCGCGGCUUAUCAGCUAGUUAGUGGGGUAGUGGCUUACCAAGUAAUUGACGGGUAGCCGGCAUGUGUGGGUGGACGGGGACAAGAGGACUACGGGACGGACCAGACGCCUACGGGGGACAGUAGUGGCGAGCAUUGCACAGUGAUCGGGAGUCGGAUGCGGAAGCCUCGCGGUCGGGAUGACGGUCUGCGGGGUGUGAACAGCUGCCGCUUGUGACGAAGCGGGAGUGACGGUAACGGAUGAAGAAGCACCGGCUAACUACGUG